CGUGGCGAACGGGUGCGUAACACGUGGAUAACCUUCCUUCAGGUGGGGAAUAACCCAGCGAAAGUUGGGCUAAUACCGCAUAACAUUACGAGGGCACAUGCUCUUGUACUCAAAGCCGCAAGGCGCCAGAAGAGGGAUCCGCGGCCGAUUAGCUAGUUGGCGAGGUAAUGGCUCACCAAGGCAAUGAUCGGUAGCCGGUCUGAGAGGAUGAUCGGCCACACUGGAACUGAGACACGGUCCAGACUCCUACGGGAGGCAGCAGUGGGGAAUCUUGCGCAAUGGGCGAAAGCCUGACGCAGCAACGCCGCGUGGGGGAUGAAGCUUCUCGGAGUGUAAACCCCUUUCGACCCGGACGAAUGUUCGCCUCAGGCGAAUUUGACGGUACGGGUAUAAGAAGCCCCGGCUAACUACGUGCCAGCAGCCGCGGUAAUACGUAGGGGGCCAGCGUUGCUCGGAAUUACUGGGCGUAAAGGGUCCGUAGGCGGUGUGGUAAGUCGGGAGUGAAAUCUCUGGGCUUAACUCAGAGGCUGCUUUCGAAACUGCCGUGCUAGAGUGUGAGAUAGGCGAGUGGAAUUGCGGGUGUAGCGGUGAAAUGCGUAGAUAUCCGCAGGAACAUCCGAGGCGAAAGCGGCUCGCUGGAUCACAACUGACGCUGAGGGACGAAAGCUAGGGGAGCAAACAGGAUUAGAUACCCUGGUAGUCCUAGCCCUAAACCAUCAGGACUUGGGGUUUGCCCUGUACGGGGCAAGUCCCGUAGCUAACGCGUUAAGUCCUGCGCCUGGGGAGUACGGUCGCAAGACUGAAACUCAAAGGAAUUGACGGGGGCCCGCACAAGCGGUGGAACAUGUGGUUCAAUUCGA
rnacentral:rRNA from 1 species